rnacentral:rRNA from 1 species
ACUAAAACUAGCCCUAACACAAUUUUACUCAACUAUUUAAUUACUGUAAAACAAAACAUUUGAAAAAAGACAGUAUUGGAGAAAGAAAACUUAACAAGGAGCUAUAGAGACAGUACCGCAAGGGAAAGAUGAAAGAUUAUUUUAAAGUAAAACAAAGCAAAGAUUAAAUCUUGUACCUUUUGCAUAAUGAAUUAACUAGAAACACUCUAACUAAGAGAACUUAAGCUAGAUACCCCGAAACCAAACGAGCUACCUACGAGCAGUUUAAAGAACUAACCCGUCUAUGUGGCAAAAUAGUGGGAUGACUCUUAGGUAGAGGUGAAAAGCCUACCGAGCUUGGUGAUAGCUGGUUACCCAAUAAAGAAUUUCAGUUCAAUUUUAAGAUUACCAUAAAAGAUAUUAAUCAAAAUGUAAUCUUAAAUUUUAGCCUAAAGAGGGACAGCUCUUCAGGAAUGGAAACAACCUUUUAUAGUGAAUAAACUUUACAAUAUAAGAUCAUUGUUGGCCUAAAAGCAGCCACCAAUAAAGAAAGCGUUAAAGCUCAACACUAUCAUAUCUAGAUACCAUAAAUUAUAAUGAAUUCCUAUAAAUUUAAUUGGGUUAAUCUAUAAUCAUAUAGAUGAAAUACUGUUAGUAUGAGUAAUAAGAACACUGUUCUCCAGGCACAAGCCUAUAACAACCCGGAUAACCAUUGUUAAUUAACAUCCUAGGUAGUUAUGUACUAAAUAAAAAUUACCUAAACCUCAAAUGUUAAUCCAACACAGGUGUGCCAUAAGGAAAGAUUAAAAGAAGUAAAAGGAACUCGGCAAACAAGAAUCCCGCCUGUUUACCAAAAACAUCACCUCUAGCAUAAAAAGUAUUAGAGGCAAUGCCUGCCCAGUGACAGACGUUAAACGGCCGCGGUAUCCUGACCGUGCAAAGGUAGCAUAAUCACUUGUUCCUUAAUUGGGGACUGGAAUGAAUGGCUUAACGAGGAUUCAACUGUCUCUUACUUCCAAUCAAUGAAAUUGACCUUCCCGUGAAGAGGCGGGAAUUACAUAAUAAGACGAGAAGACCCUAUGGAGCUUUAAUUUACUAAACUAACUAUUCCCACUACAAUCCUACUGGACUAAACAACAAGAUAUAGAUUAGUAAUUUCGGUUGGGGUGACCUCGGAGUAUAAAACAACCUCCGAACGAUUAUAACCAAGAUUAACAAAUCGAAGUAAUCAUAAUCUAAUUGACCCAAUUUUUUGAUCAACGGACCAAGUUACCCUAGGGAUAACAGCGCAAUCCUAUUCAAGAGUCCAUAUCGACAAUAGGGUUUACGACCUCGAUGUUGGAUCAGGACAUCCCAAUGGUGUAGAAGCUAUUAAUGGUUCGUUUGUUCAACGAUUAAAGUCCUACGUGAUCUGAGUUCAGACCGGAGUAAUCCAGGUCGGUUUCUAUCUAUUAACUAUUUCUCCCAGUACGAAAGGACAAGAGAAAUGAGGCCUCCUUAAUAAAAGUGCCUUAAAAUUAAUAUAUGAACUUAUCUUAAUUUAGCAAGUCAGUAAAACAAUACCCUAGACAAGGGUUUA